ACCUUUGCAUAUGGCGUUACUGUUCGUAUGAGCUUAAAACACUGGUUUUGGUUUUAGAAGGUUAAUUCAAAGCGGCGUGAGCACGAGAGAGAGAGGAAGAGAAGCAUUCAAUGCCAAAUCCAUAGGCCAUGAGAAGUAGACAAGGUCAAAAAUUUCCAAAGCUCAUUCUUCCUUUCUUUUUUCUCGUUUUCUCUCUUCUCCCUUCUCUUUUUUCUUCUUUUCGAAAACCCUAAGAGAAAGAGGGAUUCUUGGUGCGGCUAGGGGAAGAAGAGAAUCUGAGGCUCAAACGAAGUAACGAAAGAGAUAAUUUAAGAGGAGAGGCGAGAUUUCAAGGUGAGUAAUGGAGAAAGGGUGAAACCCUAAAACCUAGACGAAUGGGAGGUUCUUUGGUGCGAGAGCAAGAGAGAGGAGCAGCAACACGUUUUGGGAAAGAAGGAGAAGAGGACACGAGACAGAGGAAAACCAUGAGCAGCGGGCGCGGAAGAUUGAAGAUCAAGACAAGUGGAGAAUGUCUUUCGUCAUGCCAUCAAAGUAUGGUGCUAACUUGUCACUGCCUA